rnacentral:rRNA from 1 species
AAUGAACGCUGGCGGCAGGCCUAAAACAUGCAAGUCGAACGCCCUAGCAAUAGGGAGUGGCGCACGGGUGAGUAACAUGUGGGAAUAUGCCUUUUGGUACGGAACAACGUUUGGAAACGAACGCUAAUACCGUAUGGUCCCUCCGGGGUAAAGAUUUAUCGCCAAAAGAUUAGCCCGCACUAGAUUAGCUAGUUGGUAAGGUAAUGGCUUACCAAGGCGACGAUCUAUAGCUGUUCUGAGAGGAAGAUCAGCCACACUGGGACUGAGACACGACCCAGACGCCUACGGGAAGCAGAAAUUAAAAAUAGUAAACAAUGGGCGCAAGCCUGAUCAGCCAUGCCGCGUGAGUGAUGAAGGCCUUCGGGUUGUAAAGCUCUUUAGCCGACGAAUAUAAUGACUGUAGUCGGAGAAUAAGCCCCGGCUAACGUCGUGCCAGCAGCCGCCGUAACAC